rnacentral:rRNA from 1 species
UACAGAGGUCUCAAGCGUUGUUCGGGAUUCAUUGGGCGUAAAGGGUGCGUAGGCGGCGCGGUAAGUCGGGUGUGAAAUCUCGGAGCUUAACUCCGAAACUGCAUUCGAUACUGCCGUGCUUGAGGACUGGAGAGGAGACUGGAAUUUACGGUGUAGCGGUGAAAUGCGUAGAGAUCAUGAGGAAGACCAGUGGCGAAGGCGGGUCUCUGGACAGUUCCUGACACUGAGGCACGAAGGCCAGGGGAGCAAACGGG